rnacentral:tRNA from 1 species
GCCUGGGUGGCUCAGUUGAGCGUCUGACUUCAGCUCAGAUUAUGAUCUCACAGUUUGUGGGUUCAAGCCCCGUGCCGGGCU